UUAUCAGACUUGUAGCAAAGUUGUUCUAACAAGUCUGAUAUAGUCAUGAUAUAACAAGAAUGUUACAAGGCUGACGACACAAGCUUGAAACAGUAUUGUAAAAUCGUGGCUGUAUCGGACUUGUUGGAACAACCUUGCAACAAGCCUGAUAA